rnacentral:rRNA from 1 species
GUGGGGAAUAUUGGACAAUGGGGGGAACCCUGAUCCAGCCAUGCCACGUGUGUGAAGAAGGCCUUUUGGUUGUAAAGCACUUUAAGCGAGGAGGAGGCUACCGAGAUUAAUACUCUUGGAUAGUGGACGUUACUCGCAGAAUAAGCACCGGCUAACUCUGUGCCAGCAGCCGCGGUAAUACAGAGGGUGCAAGCGUUAAUCGGAUUUACUGGGCGUAAAGCGCGCGUAGGUGGCCAAUUAAGUCAAAUGUGAAAUCCCCGAGCUUAACUUGGGAAUUGCAUUCGAUACUGGUUGGCUAGAGUAUGGGAGAGGAUGGUAGAAUUCCAGGUGUAGCGGUGAAAUGCGUAGAGAUCUGGAGGAAUACCGAUGGCGAAGGCAGCCAUCUGGCCUAAUACUGACACUGAGGUGCGAAAGCAUGGGGAGCAAACAGGAUUAGAAACCCGUGUAGUCC